rnacentral:rRNA from 1 species
ACGGAAGGCAGCAGUGGGGGAUAUUGCGCAAUGGGGGAAACCCUGACGCAGCAACGCCGCGUGCAGGAAGACGGCCUUCGGGUUGUAAACUGUUGUCGCAAGGGAAGAAGACAGCGACGGUAUCUUGUGAGAAAGCCACGGCUAACUACGUGCCAGCAGCCGCGGUAAUACGUAGGUGGCAAGCGUUGUCCGGAUUUACUGGGUGUAAAGGGCGCGUAGGCGGGCUUUCAAGUCAGAUGUGAAAUACCGGGGCUUAACUCCGGGGCUGCAUUUGAAACUGUAAGUCUUGAGUAUCGGAGAGGAAAGCGGAAUUCCUAGUGUAGCGGUGAAAUGCGUAGAUAUUAGGAGGAACACCAGUGGCGAAGGCGGCUUUCUGGACGACAACUGACGCUGAGGCGCGAAAGUGUGGGGAGCAAACAGGAUUAGAUACCCUGGUA